AUGUUUUUUUUUUUCGAAAAGGGCCUAUACAUAUUUCAAAUAAACACAGCAAAGAUUUUUAAAUUUCAACCAAAUGUUGUUUUCUACCUCUGGGGAAACAUUAAGUUGGUGUUUAGUUUAAAAUAUGACAAGAGAUUACUUUCACAAAAUUUACUUGCUGUGUUUGUUUUACCAGUUUCCCAGUCGUUCGAACCUUCUCACCAGAUCCUGAGCGAGAACAUUGCUUUGGCAAUCAUCUUGCCAAUCAUCCUGGUCAUCCUUCUAAUUGGAGGAAUUUACAUGUAUUAUACAAAAUCCUCAUCAUUCAUUGGCUCAUCCAAAGGUCGCUCUCCAUUGUCAUUCUGCUCGCCUCAACCAGCCAGAAUCGACGUGCCUGUUUAACACCAUGCUUCAUCUGUAGACUGGAAUGGAAGCCUCUUUUCUGGAAGACCUUUUCCCAUACACACUCUUAUAGUCCGAUAACAGUGGAGUCAGAUUUCAACAACCCUCUGUAUGAGGCUGGGGUGAGUCCCUCUCUAAAUACUAUGGAAGAUUAAUAUUUUUCCACAUUAUGUAGGUUGUUAUUUUUAUAACGUAUUUUUCAGUUUGAAACAUUGCUAGAUCACGCAUCAAUGUUUAUGACAAAUAUUAAAUGAUGCCAAAACGCUAUCACAACUGUACGGUAAAACCAAUGUAUCUUUCUCUAAAAGUUUUUCUCUUCUCGUUUUCUCCAGGAUACACGAGAAUAUGAAGUAUCCAUUUAAUGGAGUGAGAGAGAGAAACAAAACUCUUUCCAAACCACAAAGAUUAAUAAAAACAAAACAUACUCCAAGAGGGCCAGUACCCGUGUAAUACUCUUCUCCAUGUAUUUAUUUUGUACUACCCACCGUGACCCCAAACAUAGCCCUGUAAUGUGAUCCAUCAGAGGCGUUGUGGGUCUCCUCUCUGCCGCCUGACUUGCUCCGUCAUUGAGAUUGGUGCCUUGCGAAAAAAAGUAGGUUUCAAAAUGAAAAAAACUACCAAAACGAUGUGAAAACUUUGCAAUACUAGACACUGGUCAAUGCAAAAACAGGCAUGAACGAACAUUGUGGUUCAUUUUAUUUAUUAACAAUUCAUAUUAAAUCUAAAUAUGAAUAAAGAUGCAUAGAUAUAUCCAUAUUUACAUAACACAUAAUGCUCAUUAAUCACCAGUAUUUCUGAUUUGUUUCUACCCCUGUAUCUGUAAGGUUUCUGUAUAAUAUAAACUCACCCAGACACAUACAUUGAAUGUAAAUAUUUAACCUAUUAUUGAGGCUCAUAUAUAUAAAUAUAUAAAUAUAUACACUUAUACAUGGUGGGGGUUGGGGUUGGGUGUAUUUUCAUUAUAUAUCUGUAAUGAACAAUUCAGUGCCAAAAUAUAAAGUUGCAUAAUUUAGUGUUUCAUCUCUUGUUGCCAUAGUGUUUAAGACAUGGAUAUUUAGAAAGCCAGCAUUUAAUUUAAAUCUUUGCUGUUUUUGGAGUGUAUUUUUCACAUGACAAUGUGGAUCCGGCUGCAGCAUAAUGACAUGAAUGUCAUUAUGUGUACAUGCCUACACGCAGCAUGCACUGAUUGUAAAUGACAUUGCUUCUACCGAAACGUUCCAUUAUAGUUAUUGGACAUUGACAUUGUUAUCAGAUUUGAUGUUGUAUGCACUAUGUUGAUGGGGUGUGGGGGGGGGGGGGGGGAUACAACCUUGGCUGCUUGCUCUAAUACAUUAUGUAUUUAUUUACAACUGUUUGAACAGUGAACUUAGCGCCUUUCACUGUGUCAUAUAUGAAGAAUUCUGGGGACAGCGGCUUUGUAGAGAAUAUUCUUCUGUUAUCAUUAGUAGUUUUAUUUGCUUUAUAGAUACACACUCUUUUAAAGGAGUUCCUUUUGCUGAACUUGAAAUAAAGUCUGUUGAAUGGUGUUAUUACUGUGUUGUGUUCCCUGUUCUUAGUAUGCAUUGGGUUCUGAAACAGAUCAAACUUUAUUAUUAUUAUUAUUAUUAUUAUUAUUAUCAUCAUUAUCAUACUAGCUAUAAGUCAAAGAAAGUUAAGGCAAAAGAUGGAAAAAUGCUAAUGAUUUCAAAGGUUUCCCGGAAUCACGCUUUCAAACCAAUAGGGGGCGAUAUUUCGACUGUUGUCAACUCUUGGCACUGCUGCUAAUUCCAUUUUGAACCGGAUGAAUAACAUGCAAUAUCAGCGGAAGUUCCUUAUCAAACGACUAUGCGGAUGUAUCAAAAUGAUCCUCUUUAAAUAUCCUUUAAUUUAACAGUGUAGAAGAGUUAAAAUCCUGAUGGUCUUUGUAGUUAUUUUUUUCGUAAUAAGUAAGAAGUGCUAGCGGUUUGAAUAUUGCUUUAUUUUUAAACCAAACGUUGGAAAUGAAUUGCCAAACGUUACCAGAAACACUGCCGUGAAUUAUUAUUAUACUCUUCCUUAUAAGCACUGGCUAAAUAUUCACGACUCAUCGACGUUAAUUGAAUUAUUUCAUUGGAUGUUGGUGUGGUAAGUUCACCUUUUGAAUAUUACCAAUGAGCAUUGCUGGCCAUAUGCUAUGUGUUAACGUUAACGUUUUUAAAAAACAGUUGAGGCAUACGUUUGCUCACCACUUGAGCAAAACAUAUAACAUUUAGCUUGAAAACAUUUGGGUAUUGAUGUGUAGUGCUGUGUCCAUGCGUCAUGCAAGUUCAGCCAACAUUAUACACAACAAUAAACAAUAAAACAACAAUAAAACAAUAAACCAACAAUACAUUUGGUUUAUUGUCAAGGGAAACGAUAUUCUAUUUCCGGUUGUUUUGUUGGUUCUAUAGAACUGACAGUAUUUCGAUUUUUUUAUUGCUAUACAAUUUCAGUUCUAUAUAGAGCUUGGGUUUGCUAUGUAAGGAAAUCAAAUAAAAAUAAAAGGAUAACGCUCUGGUUGUUUGUGGUACAACAAAAGAUUAUUAGGACUUUAGGAGUUAUCAGGCGUCAUAUAAGUGCACCCGGCCUAAACUAAGACUUCUGUCCAGUCUAACAUUUGCAGAUGCUUAUAUAUGUGUGUGUGUGUGUGUGUGUGUGUGUGUGUGUGUGUGUGUGUGUGUGUGUGUGUGUGUGUGUGUGUGUGUGUGUGUGUGUGUGUGUGUGUGUGUGAUACUGAACCACACAUGACCCUCUACCUCUACCUUUCACCCACACCACGUUACUGAAAGGCUGGCUCUUUGAUAUACUAUAAACUAUUCGUUGAAAGAGAGGAAUACAAAUGA
ensembl:lncRNA